GAUGAACGCUGGCGGCGUGCCUAAUACAUGCAAGUCGAGCGAACGGACGAGAAGCUUGCUUCUCUGAUGUUAGCGGCGGACGGGUGAGUAACACGUGGAUAACCUACCUAUAAGACUGGGAUAACUUCGGGAAACCGGAGCUAAUACCGGAUAAUAUUUUGAACCGCAUGGUUCAAAAGUGAAAGACGGUCUUGCUGUCACUUAUAGAUGGAUCCGCGCUGCAUUAGCUAGUUGGUAAGGUAACGGCUUACCAAGGCAACGAUGCAUAGCCGACCUGAGAGGGUGAUCGGCCACACUGGAACUGAGACACGGUCCAGACUCCUACGGGAGGCAGCAGUAGGGAAUCUUCCGCAAUGGGCGAAAGCCUGACGGAGCAACGCCGCGUGAGUGAUGAAGGUCUUCGGAUCGUAAAACUCUGUUAUUAGGGAGAACAUAUGUGUAGGUAACUGUGCACAUCUUGACGGUACCUAAUCAGAAAGCCACGGCUAACUACGUG
rnacentral:rRNA from 1 species